rnacentral:rRNA from 1 species
GAUGAACGCUGGCGGCAUGCCUAACACAUGCAAGUCGAUCGGUAAGGCUCUUCGGAGUACACGAGAGGCGGACGGCUGAGUAACGCGUAGGAACACACCCUGCAGUGCGGGAUGAGACACCGAAAGGUGUUCUAAUACCGCAUACGGUCUUCGGAUUAAAGCAUUUAUGCGCUGAAGGAGUGGCCUGCGUCAUAUUAGAUAGUUGGUGAGGUAAUGGCUCACCAAGUCGAUGAUGUGUAGCUGGUCUGAGAGGAUGAUCAGCCAGACUGGAACUGAGACACGGUCCAGACUCCUACGGGAGGCAGCAGUGAGGAAUAGUUCACAAUGAACGAAAGCUUGAUGGAGCAAUGCCGCGUGCAGGAUGAAGGCCCUCGGGUUGUAAACUGCUUUUAUAAGAGAAGAUUAUGACGGUAACUUAUGAAUAAGGGACGGCUAACUACGUG